rnacentral:rRNA from 1 species
UACGUAGGGUGCGAGCGUUGUCCGGAAUUACUGGGCGUAAAGAGCUCGUAGGUGGUUUGUCACGUCGUCUGUGAAAUUCCGGGGCUUAACCUCGGGCGUGCAGGCGAUACGGGCAAUACUUGAGUGCUGUAGGGGAGACUGGAAUUCCUGGUGUAGCGGUGAAAUGCGCAGAUAUCAGGAGGAACACCAAUGGCGAAGGCAGGUCUCUGGGCAGUUACUGACGCUGAGGAACGAAAGCAUGGGUAGCGAACAGGAUUAGAUA